CCUAUCAAACUUUACUUUAGUUUAACUGGGGCAGUUAAUUAAUAAAAAUUUUAAUAAAGAUUAAGUACUAAAUAGANNNCCCAACANUAGUUGAUUACANUGAACAAGUUACUGUAGGGAUAACAGCGUAAUAUAUAUCUAAAGUUCUUAUUUUGAUAUAAGUUUGCGACCUCGAUGUUGAAUUNAUAUUACUUUCAAGCGCAAGAGCCUGAAAAGUGGGUCUGUUCGACCCCUAAAUAUAUACAUGAUUUGAGUUCAAAUCGGUGUAAACCAGAUUGGUUUCUAUCUAUUNUUAUUUGUGUCUUAGUACGAAAGGACCUGAAACAAUAUUAUAUAAUNAUUUAUAUGGCAGAAAAAUGCUUUAGAUUUAGGAUCUAAUUAUAAUAGAUUAUCAUACUCUAUUUAACUUGCCUAAUCUCUGUUAUUAGAAUCCUUAUCGCAGUAGCUUUUUAUACCCUCCUAGAACGAAAAAUUCUAAGCUACAUCCA
rnacentral:rRNA from 1 species